rnacentral:rRNA from 1 species
GAUGAACGCUAGCGAUAGGCUUAACACAUGCAAGUCGAGGGGCAGCACAAGGUAGCUUGCUAUCUGGGUGGCGACCGGCGCACGGGUGCGUAACGCGUAUGCAACUUGCCCUAUACAGGAGGAUAACCAGUCGAAAGACGGACUAAUACUGCGUAUGCUCACAACUUGGCAUCAAGUGGUGAGGAAAGAAAUUCGGUAUAGGAUAGGCAUGCGCCCCAUUAGCUUGUUGGCGAGGUAACGGCGCACCAAGGCAACGAUGGGUAGGGGAACUGAGAGGUUCAUCCCCCGCACGGGAACUGGGACACGGACCAGGCUCCUGCGGGACGCAGCAGUGAGGAAUAGUAGUCAAUGGGCGCGAGCCUGAACCAGCCAAGUCGCGUGAAGGAUGACUGUGUUAUGGAUUGUAAACUUCUUUUAUACGGGAAUAGCAAGAGUCACGUGUGACUCCCUGCAUGUACCGUAUGAAUAAGCAUCGGCUAACUCCGUG